UAGAAUGAUGAUGCUUUAGACUAGAGUCUCUGAAUGACACAGUCUUGAAGAAUUCUUUGAACACUCUGACUA